rnacentral:misc_RNA from 1 species
AAGUCGUAACAAGGUUUCCGUAGGUGAACUUGCGGAAGGAUCAUUAACACAUAUCCAAACGUUAAAACAACCUUGUGAAUACUGAAUCUCAGUUCCCCCUUCCUCGAGUAAAUUAUUGUCUUAACAAGAGUUAGACGAUGGUGCACGAGGAGCACCUGUAUUGGGUCGAGCGUUUACAACAUUUCACUUGUGGUGCCCCCAAGCAACCAUCAAUCUGAAAGUGUUUGGAACAAGGGCAGCGCAGUCAACGAUCGGUGGUCUACACGGCCAUCGACCGGGGGUCGUUACUCCCUUGUGGGGCCUAGUUCAUUCAGGUCGAACAUGAUGCAUGUCUACCGCGCCCGACGAAAGUCCGACGCACCCCUAACCGAACAACUGUUAACAAUUGGUUCUC